rnacentral:rRNA from 1 species
GACGAACGCUGGCGGCGUGCUUAACACAUGCAAGUCGAACGGUGAAGCUCCAGCUUGCUGGAGUGGAUCAGUGGCGAACGGUGAGUAACACGUGAGCAACCUGCCCCUGACUCUGGAAUAAGCGCUGGAAACGGCGUCUAAUACUGGAUACGAGAAGGGUCCGCAUGGGCACUUUCUGGAAAGUUUUUCGGUUGGGGAUGGGCUCGCGGCCUAUCAGCUUGUUGGUGAGGUAAUGGCUCACCAAGGCGACGACGGGUAGCCGGCCUGAGAGGGCGACCGGCCACACUGGGACUGAGACACGGCCCAGACUCCUACGGGAGGCAGCAGUGGGGAAUAUUGCACAAUGGGCGAAAGCCUGAUGCAGCGACGCCGCGUGAGGGAUGACGGCCUUCGGGUUGUAAACCUCUUUCAGCAGGGAAGAAGCGAAAGUGACGGUACCUGCAGAAGAAGCACCGGCUAACUACGUG